rnacentral:rRNA from 1 species
CAGUAGCCGCGGUAAUACGUAGGGUGCAAGCGUUAAUCGGAAUUACUGGGCGUAAAGCGUGCGCAGGCGGUUUGUUAAGACAGAUGUGAAAUCCCCGGGCUCAACCUGGGAACUGCAUUUGUGACUGCACAGCUAGAGUAUGGCAGAGGGGGGUGGAAUUCCACGUGUAGCAGUGAAAUGCGUAGAGAUGUGGAGGAACACCGAUGGCGAAGGCAGCCCCCUGGGCCAAUACUGACGCUCAUGCACGAAAGCGUGGGGAGCAAACAGGAUUAGAUACCCCCGUAGUCCCUGUCUCUUAUAC